rnacentral:rRNA from 1 species
UGAAACCAGGUUAGAUACCCUGUUAUACUAAAAUUAAAAUGGUUAGUAAUCUUGAGUAGUAAUAAUAAAUUAGUUUAAAAUUCAAAGAGUUUGGCGGUAUUUUAGUCUAGUUAGAGGAACCUGUUUCAUGAUCGAUAAACCACGAAGCAUCUUUCUUGCUCUUAUAGAUAGUUAGUAUACCUUCAUUAUUAGAUAAUUUUAUUUAUUAUAAAAAUUAUUGCAAUUAAUUUUUUAUUAAAUAUAUUAGAUCUAGGUGCUGCUUAUGGGCAAGUAGAAAUGGGUUACAAUAAAUUAAAUUUAUUAUGGAUUUAUAUUUGAAAUUUUUAUAUUGAAAGAGGAUUUAAUAGUAAUAUAGGUUUAACAUGCCUGUGUGAGAUUGGCUCUAAAAUGUGUACAUAUCGACCGUC